rnacentral:lncRNA from 1 species
ACCUGAUAAUACAAGUUAUUUUGAAAGAGUUUAUCAGCAUUAAGCUGGUGAGUUCAUAAGUAUUUUAGUGUCGGUGUUUGUCAUCAAAAACGUUUGAACCUGUCUCAAGUAUAAGUUGUAAAAUGUAAGCAAUUGUUUGUAAGUGUUUGUAAAAGUUUGAAUUUCUCAGAAAAACCUAUAUUUUCUAUUAAAGUAGCCUUCUACCAAGGCUUAACUGUUUUGUAUGCUCGUUUGUUGUAAAAGUGUGUAAUUUCCCAAGUGUAACUAUCAUUUAACAAAAAUAGUUUGUACAUUAAUGUUUAAGUGAGGUUAUCACUAAAAAUAUGUAAUGGGUAAAUCAUUGUAGUACUGUAGUUUUGUAUUAUAGGAACUACUGUUGUACUAACUACCUUAAACCGGAUUUAUAUUAAGGUAUAAUGUGAUAAUUGCACCAUACUAUCGACUGGUAACAACGACAUAAGAAUGGUCGUAAUAACGGAAUGACGUUUGGCACCCGCAGACCUGCAGGUCCGGCUGUAGCUAGCAGCAAGGUGUAGGAUAGUCAAUCCAGUAUAGAUCUAUACGCAAACUCACGCUCUCCCUCCAAGAGAAUUCUGGCUACAACUCGGGCCAUGACAUUUAAGGCAUGCUCCGACACAGUGGAUCACAAUUGUUAACGUAUUCUUGUAUAUGUAAUAUAAUGUUUCUCGUUCUAGUAUAGUUGUAUAUGUUCUCCUCCUAGUAUAGUUGUAUAUGUUCCCUUUCUAGUAUAGUUGUAUAUGUUCUCCUUCUAGUAUAGUUGUAUAUGUUCUCUUUCUAGUAUAGUUGUAUAUGUUGUCUUUCUAGUAUAGUUGUAUAUGUUCUCAUAGUAACGUAAUGUAUAGACUCAUGAAUGAACUGACUCAUUGAUCUAGAAGUUGUAAUAGUAUGAUCCUGUGUUACCCCGAUGGUAACUCACUAAUGAUGUGUCUAGUACGCAUGAAUAUGGAAGUACUUUUAUGUCUAUAUAGGUAUAUUUGAUAUAUAAUUAAUAUUGAAACGACCUUCGGAUGGUCACCCGAAAUCCCACCAGACCACAUCCAAAUCGAGAAAAAGGAAAUAGGGCGGAUGGCCUUCCUAAGCCCUUUAAACAUUGNCUAUAAGUUUAUAAAGAUUAGAAAAAUGGUAAGAAUCAAUUUGUAGGCAACGUGAGAGUGACACAUGGACUAACUAACCAUAGCCCAACAGUUGAAUGAGUGUUUGAGAGUACAACAAGGAAUAUUAGUAGGAAAACACAAAUAUACAGAUUUUUCCCACAAAUUAGAUAGAUGUUAGUAACACUGGUAUUACUGAUGUAAUUAAGUUCAGGGAAAAUCGACCUAACAGUAGGUGUUACAUCAUACCAUAUAGAAAAGUUUGACAGUUCUUAGAUUCCUAAUUAGAGUACUGAAAGUUAGGAAUAUUUUACAGACAAGUGCUACUUAGAGCACAGAUGUUAAAGGCUAUUCCUUAACCAAUAGACAGAGAUGUACUAGACAUCAUCUAACGGCGAUGGGAAUUUCUCGGGCGAGCCCUGAGGUCUGACACUUGACGAAACACCUCUUGAAGGUGUCGUUCCUGAGCCCUCUGACGGGCUUGAAGUUCCAAGACUUCAGCUCGGGAGGCAGCCAGCUGUUGUUGCAGGGUUUCAUUGGUUCUCCGGGUCCGUUCUAUGUAUUCUUCAAGACGGCGAAUGCGGACUGUGUUGACACCAGAGUUGGCAUCAAUCUCCAUGACCCGGUCGAUGGCUGCUCGACCUUGCUCAACAUUACGAGCUAUUCUGCGGAUAAUGACGGGCAGAGCUCGGUCAGCAGAACCACCUUCACUGACGUUGUAAAAGCUUCGGUCCCCAAAGUAUGGUAAGGGUUGACCCUGUUCAUCACUCCAGCGAUUCAAGUUGGUUGCCCACAAGGGAGUAGGACCUGGAAAAUCUGGUCGGGGGUUGUUGUUCGGGGCUUGACCUACUAGCGGUAGGUCGUUCACUUCAGGCUCGGAGUCAGAUCGAUCAGAAAAGCCUUCUGCGAGGUGAUCAUCCAAAGGGAUUGGAUGCUCAUCUUCGGGCUCGUCUUCGAUCCACCUGACAUUGCCUUCAUUUGUAAAGUACGGGUCGCCGUGAUGGAAUCCAACCAUUAAAAUCUACGCAAGAAGAGAGGUAUACGAAUAUAGUAUACAUGUAACUAGUAGUACAAAAUACACCUAUAAUAUUUUAAGUUUAAGUUCUACUAAUCUUCUUGUGGUAUUGUUGGUAAGUUUUUAAACUUGUUAACACAUCACAACCAUUCUAGGGCAUAUGCUAAUCACUCCUAGGACCAGCAUAGUUGAUCAGGCUAUGCCAUUCCCAGGACUGACUAUACAUCCCCGAGCUUACUUGUGAUAUUCAACAAUCGUAAUACUUUUGUUCUUGUCAUUGUGACACUGAUUUUAGUAUGAACGCAGACUUGUAUACUUAAUUAAAUAUUUUAAUAUUUAAAGUAUAGACUCUUGGUCAGAGUUCUUUAAUCCCUAAUGGGUUUAUAGUUUAGUAUAUCUUUUAUGGGUUGAUAUAAUUGAUUCACUAUAAACAAUGCUCUGAUACCAAUCUGUCACACCCCAAAACCAAGAACGGCGGAAACGUUCUGGGGCGGAGGACGUCAUGUAAAGUAUCACAACACAGUAAAUGUAAAUAAGCAAACAACAUCAUCCAUUGCAUUAAAUAUAUAAUUUUAAUACAAGCGUGUUCUGUACAGUUAUAGACACCAAAAAUAAUGUAAAUCAAAAUAAUAAGAUGAGUCUUGAAUGCGCUCCAUCUUCUCAAAAGCUGGCCUCGGUACCUGUCUACUGAUGACCUGAGAAUACAAGUUAUUUUGAAAGAGUUUAUCAGCAUUAAGCUGGUGAGUUCAUAAGUAUUUUAGUGUCGGUGUUUGUUAUCAAAACGUUUGAACGUGUCUCAAGUAUAAGUUUGUAAAAUGUAUGUAAGUGUUUGUAAAAGUUUGAAUCUCUCAGAAAAACCUAUAUUUUCUAUUAAAGUAGCCUUCUACCAAGGCUUAACUGUUUUGUAUGCUCGUUUGUUGUAAAAGUGUGUAAUUUCCCAAGUGUAACUAUCAUUUAACA